ACUCGUUCCGGAUUCAGGUGCGGAGAUGGAAGGGGGGGCUUGGCCAUGGACACAGCUGAGGUCCUGGAAUGCUGUAGUUCCAAUAUCAAACACCAAGUUAUUGGUGAGGCUCAAUUAGAAAGGCUGCUUCCACUUCCCUCGAGGAGAAGUGGCCUCACCAACUUCUCCCUCCUCAAGUCCGCCAUGAUGGGAUGCAAAACCUCUAAAAGCCUGUGAUCCAGUGGCCUCAAAUGGAGCUUGUCAACCCACAGAGACAUACCAGGUAAUUGAUAUCCAG
rnacentral:lncRNA from 1 species